AGAUUGAACGCUGGCGGCAUGCCUUACACAUGCAAGUCGAACGGCAGCACGGGAGCAAUCCUGGUGGCGAGUGGCGAACGGGUGAGUAAUACAUCGGAACGUGCCCAGUUGUGGGGGGAUAGCCCGGCGAAAGCCGGAUUAAUACCGCAUACGACCUACGGGUGAAAGCGGGGGAUCGCAAGACCUCGCGCUAUUGGAGCGGCCGAUGUCGGAUUAGCUUGUUGGUAGGGUAAAAGCCUACCAAGGCUACGAUCCGUAGCUGGUCUGAGAGGACGACCAGCCACACUGGGACUGAGGCACGGCCCAGACUCCUACGGGAGGCAGCAGUGGGGAAUUUGGACAAUGGGCGAAAGCCGUGAUCCAGCCAGUGCCGCGUGGCGGGAAGAACGGCCGUUCGGGUUGUAAACCGGUCUUUUGUACCGAGGGAACGUAAACGGUUCG
rnacentral:rRNA from 1 species